rnacentral:rRNA from 1 species
UACAGAGGCCUCGAGCGUUAAUCGGAGUCACUGGGCUUAAAGGGUGCGUAGGCGGGCCCGCAAGUGUCUUGUGAAAUCCCACGGCUCAACCGUGGAAUGGCUCGACAGACUGCGGGUCUUGAGGUCGGUAGGGGUCGCUGGAACUCUAGGUGGAGCGGUGAAAUGCGUAGAUAUCUAGAGGAACGCCAAAGGUGAAGACAAGCGACUGGGCCGAUUCUGACGCUGAGGCACGAAAAGCGUGGGGGAGCGAACAGG